rnacentral:rRNA from 1 species
AUUGAACGCUGGCGGCAGGCUUAACACAUGCAAGUCGAGCGGAGUGAUGGUGCUUGCACUAUCACUUAGCGGCGGACGGGUGAGUAAUGCUUAGGAAUCUGCCUAUUAGUGGGGGACAACAUCUCGAAAGGGAUGCUAAUACCGCAUACGUCCUACGGGAGAAAGCAGGGGAUCACUUGUGACCUUGCGCUAAUAGAUGAGCCUAAGUCGGAUUAGCUAGUUGGUGGGGUAAAGGCCUACCAAGGCGACGAUCUGUAGCGGGUCUGAGAGGAUGAACCGCCACACUGGGACUGAGACACGGCCCAGACUCCUACGGGAGGCAGCAGUGGGGAAUAUUGGACAAUGGGGGAAACCCUGAUCCAGCCAUGCCGCGUGUGUGAAGAAGGCCUUAUGGUUGUAAAGCACUUUAAGCGAGGAGGAGGCUCUUUUGGUUAAUACCCAAGAUGAGUGGACGUUACUCGCAGAAUAAGCACCUGCUAACUCUGUGCCAGCCGCCGCAGUAAAAC